rnacentral:rRNA from 1 species
GGCUUUUUGAUAAUGAUUUAAAGUCUAACCUGCCCAAUGAUUGAUUUGAAUGGCCGCAGUAUUUUGACUGUGCAAAGGUAGCAUAAUCAAUAGUUUCUUUAUUGGGAACUGGAAUGAAUGGUUGGAUGAGGGAAAAACUGUCUUUUUUUAAUUUUAUUAGAAAUUUAUUUUUAAGUUAAAAAGCUUAAAUUUGAUUUAAAGACGAGAAGACCCUAUAGAAUUUUAUAGUUUGAUUUUUUAUUAUUUUUAGGUAUUUACUUAUAAUUGAGGAUUAAAUUUUUUGAUUGGGGUGAUUGGAAAAUUGACUGAACUUUUCUUUUGUUGGAUACAUUGAUUUAUGAUUCAUUUUGAUCCGGAUUUUUUGAUUAGAAGAUUAAAUUACCUUAGGGAUAACAGCGUAAUUUUUUUAGAGAGUUCUUAUCGAUAAAAAAGUUUGCGACCUCGAUGUUGGAUUAAAAUUUAUAACUGGUGCAGAAGCUAGUUUAUUAGGUCUGUUCGACCUUUGAAAUUUUACGUGAUC